rnacentral:RNase_P_RNA from 1 species
AGUAAGUCAGACGGUUGCGUGGCUUAUGCUAUGAGGAAAGUCCGGGCUUCACAGGGCAGGAUACCGGCUAACGGCCGGCGGAGGCGACUCCAGGGACAGUGCAACAGAAAAUAAACGCCGCCUUACAGCGGUAAGUGUGGAAAUGUGAGGUAAGAGCUCACAGGGAAGAUGGUAACUGAAUUCCCGUGUAAACCCUAUCCGAAGCAACUUUGGAGCAAUUAAGGCUGCCCGCCGCUGCUCCUUGCAAGGCUAAAGACUGCCGGUAACGGCAGUAUUAGAUAGAUAAUCGUCUGAUACAGAACCCGGCUUACAGACUUGCUCA